UACGGGGGGGGCAAGCGUUGUUCGGAAUUACUGGGCGUAAAGGGUUCGUAGGUGGCUUGCUAAGUCAGACGUGAAAUCCCUCAGCUUAACUGGGGAACUGCGUCUGAUACUGGCGAGCUUGAGUGCAGGAGAGGAACGCGGAAUUCCAGGUGUAGCGGUGAAAUGCGCAGAUAUCAGGAGGAACACCGGUGGCGAAGGCGGGACUCUGGGCCGAUACUGACGCUGAGGAGCGAAAGCGUGGGGAGCGAACAGG
rnacentral:rRNA from 1 species